GACGAACGCUGGCGGCGUGCUUAACACAUGCAAGUCGAACGAAGUGGCGAACGGGUGAGUAACGCGUAAUCAACCUGCCCUUCAGAGGGGGACAACAGUUGGAAACGACUUCUAAUACCGCAUACUGAAGGAGGGGCUUUCGUCGGAUUAGCUAGUUGGAGGGGUAACGGCUCACCAAGGCGAUGAUCAGUAGCCGGGGUGGAAGGAUGAACGGCCAAAUUGGGACUGAGACACGGCCCAGACUCCUACGGGAGGCAGCAGUGGGGAAGCUUACGCAAUGGACGAAAGUCUGACGGAGCAACGCCGCGUGAGUGAGGACGGCCUGCGGGGUGUAAAGCUCUGUUAAUCGGGACGCGGUACCGGAAUAGAAAGCCACGGCUAACUACGUGCCAGCCGCCGCGGUAAUUC
rnacentral:rRNA from 1 species